GAAUAAUUGCUUUAAAAAGGUGAAAUGAGAGAGCGAAAGUAGAAUAUACUCACCCCAAAGUUGCCUCAGAGUUGCUGAGGUCACUCUUAUUCUCUCAUGUUUGCUCAGACCUCCACUUCAAGAACAGGUGAUUUGCUUCACUUCAAACAAUUUUUUUUGUUUUAUUAUUUCUGAAAGUUUCAGAAUGAAUAAAUUGAAUUUUUAAGAAUGA